UUUUAUCACAUCUCUUAAAUAAAUCAACAAAUCUUUUUUUCCAUCCAUUCCACUUAGUUGGAUAAUCAAACAAACCAGAGCUUAUUUGAAUCGCAUAAAUCGACAAGCUCAUGGUGUUGAUUGCUUAAUUGGUGGUCCCGGUGGUCCACGCUGUUAGCAAAAUAAUGGGCAACGGAGACACGUUUGCAUUGUACAUCCAUCACAGAGGUAGCUUUGGAAAUACAGGGAAGCAUGUUGUGUACACAGGAGGUAAUUUUGAGAUAUUGGCACCAAUUUGGAUAAAGAGGAUAAGAAGAAAUUGGCUAUAAAGUUGAUAUCAGCAUCACUUGCUGUUGGAGUCCUUGUGGCAAGCUUUAUCAAUGGAGGGAUACUCUAUCUGACGAGGCGAAAGUGGCGAGUAAAAGCAAAAGAUGAGGAUAUAGAUUUGCCUACAAUCAAAAUGGCAGCCCUUGUGGAAGCAACAAAUAACUUCUCCUCUGAGAACAUGAUAGGAUCUGGAGGUUUUGGGUCUGUUUACAAGGUAAUAUGUAUACCAACAUGAUCAAGCAGGGCAAGUUAUCUACGGGAUAGGAAAUCGCUGUCAAAGAUUGUCGAGAGGUUCAAAUCAGGGUGUUGAGGAGUUCAAAAAUGAAAUAAAGUUGAUUGCUAAACUUCAACACAGGAACCUCGUCAGACUUGUUGGAUGUUGCAUUCAAGGAGAGGAAAUGGUGCUAAUAUAUGAAUACCUACAGAAUAAGAGCCUCGAUUGUUUUAUUUCUGAUCAGAAGCGAAGGAUGCUUUUAACAUGGCCUAAACGCUUUGACAUCAUCAUGGGAAUUGCAAGGGGACUGCUUUAUCUUCAUCAUGAUUUCAGGUUGAAGAUUAUCCAUAGGGAUCUGAAGAUGAGCAAUAUUUUACUCGACGAAAACUUAAAUCCAAAAAUUUCUGACUUUGGCUUAGCAAGAGCUUUUGAAGAAGACCAGUCUAUUGUUAGAACAAAAAGAGUUGUUGGGACAUUAGUAAGUUUUCUUUUAUCAUAUCAUUUUUUUUUUGUCAUUUUUCAUGGCGAUCUUAUGAUGGAGAAUUCUGUUCAGUGGCUAUAUGGCUCCAGAAUAUGCAAGUGACGGGAAGUUCUCAGUGAAAUCUGACAUCUUUAGUCUUGGAGUGGUAUUGCUAGAGAUAGUUAGUGGGAAGAAGAGCAGAGGAUUUAAACACGACGAUCACAAUCAUACCCUCCUAGGCCAUGCAUGGUUGCUAUGGAAAGACGAGAAGAUUAUGGAAGUGAUGGACGAAUGUUUGAAGGAAACAUGUGUUGAAUCCCAAGUGAAGAGAUGCAUACAUGUGGGGUUAUUAUGUGUUCAAAAUGUAGCAGAAGAUAGACCAAUC